CGGCGCUGCGGCCGGGGGCAGCGGCGGGGGAGGCGCAGCUCCGCUCCGGGCUCGGGCAGGGGCUCGAGAUGCGCCCGGGGAGGCAGCGCGGAGCCGCCCGCCCGCCCGCCCACACGGCGCUGCACGUGCCCCGAGCCGGCAUGCGGGAGCCCCGGGGCCGCCUGCUCCUUCCCUCCCCACCCCGGCCCCCAACAGCCGCGGACCCGCCUUCUCCGCGCCUCCUGGAUGCUUAGUGCUACCUUUUACACGUGGCUAUUCGCUAAUUACCAAGGGGAUGAGGAGGAUGAAGUACAUGAAGAAGAAGCUGGUCCACCAGGAGAGUACAAAGAAGAUGAAGAUGAAGAUGAUGGAGAUUCAGAUUUGGGGGAGGGUGAAGAGGAGGAAGAAGCUGGCCUUUCAUACCUGAUGACGGACAAGAUCCAGUGGUGAACAACGUGACCCCUGAUGCACGACUGAUCACGCAGACCAGCUGCCAGCUCUGGGUGGUGGAGGAGCAGUCCAUCAGCCACAUCAACGGCGCCUUUGACUGCAAGCAGGAGGUGCUGGAGGCCUCGGGCCAGGUCAGCAUUAACUGGCCCCGGGAGUGACCUUGCUGUGGGGAGGCUCCUCAAGGACCUGCCCAUCCCCUCUCAGAGACCUGCCUGCACAGCUUCACGUGCCCCCACACCCAAAGGCCUCCGUGUAGAGGGGGCAGGGCCGCAGGCAUGGUUGUGGUUGAACUUUGAAGAUGUGUUUUGGGGGCCUAAUGCAAGACAUGUUAUAUUUUUAGAGCUGUUCUUCUACACCUGCUGCUUUCCCAGGAGAGAGAGACUUAAUUUAUAUGAAUGGGAGGGAGGGGGUUGUACUGGAACGGUCUGUUUUAGGCAGGAGUGAGGGCUGUCCUUGUCCCAUUGCUGGGUUCCCUGCCCCCAGUCUGGAGAAUGGCUUGAGCCUUGUUUUGCUUUCACCCAAGAAGAUUAUAUUAAAAUAUAAUAAAGGAAAA